GGUGCAUGGUUGUCGUCAGCUCGUGUCGUGAGAUGUUGGGUUAAGUCCCGCAACGAGCGCAACCCCUAUUGUUAGUUGCCAUCAUUCAGUUGGGCACUCUAGCGAGACUGCCGGUAAUAAACCGGAGGAAGGUGGGGAUGACGUCAAAUCAUCAUGCCCCUUAUGACCUGGGCUACACACGUGCUACAAUGGUUGGUACAACGAGUUGCGAGUCGGUGACGGCGAGCUAAUCUCUUAAAGCCAAUCUCAGUUCGGAUUGUAGGCUGCAACUCGCCUACAUGAAGUCGGAAUCGCUAGUAAUCGCGGAUCAGCACGCCGCGGUGAAUACGUUCCCGGGCCUU
rnacentral:rRNA from 1 species